UACAGAGGUCCCAAGCGUUGUUCGGAUUCAUUGGGCGUAAAGGGUGCGUAGGUGGCGUCGUAAGUCGGGUGUGAAAUCUCGGGGCUUAACUCCGAAACUGCAUUCGAUACUGCGGUGCUUGAGGACUGGAGAGGAGACUGGAAUUUACGGUGUAGCAGUGAAAUGCGUAGAUAUCUGGAGGAACACCGGUGGCGAAGGCGGCAUCCUGGACCGGUAUUGACACUGAGGCGCGAAAGCCAGGGGAGCAAACCGGGG
rnacentral:rRNA from 1 species